rnacentral:rRNA from 1 species
CAGUCGCCACGGGAAUACGAAGGGGGCUAGCGUUGUUCGAAUUUACUGGGCGUAAAGGGCGCGUAGGCGGACUGAUAAGUCAGGGGUGAAAUCCCAAGGCUCAACCUUGGAACUGCCUUUGAUACUGUUUGUCUUGAGUUCGAGAGAGGUAAGUGGAACUGCGAGUGUAGAGGUGAAAUUCGUAGAUAUUCGCAAGAACACCAGUGGCGAAGGCGGCUUACUGGCUCGAUACUGACGCUGAGGCGCGAAAGCGUGGGGAGCAAACAGGAUUAGAUACCGAGUAGUCCCUGUCUCUUAUACA